rnacentral:rRNA from 1 species
CGGGAAAAGCUCAAAUUUAAAAUCUGGUGGUCUUUGGCUGCCCGAGUUGUAAUCUAGAGAAGCAUUAUCCGCACUGGACCAUGUAUAAGUCUCCUGGAAUGGAGCGUCAUAGAGGGUGAGAAUCCCGUCUUUGACAUGGACUACCAGGGCUUUGUGAUGUGCUCUCAAA